UACGGGGGGGGCAAGCGUUGUUCGGAAUUACUGGGCGUAAAGGGCUCGUAGGCGGCCAACUAAGUCAUACGUGAAAUCCCUCGGCUUAACCGGGGAACUGCAUCUGAUACUGGUUGGCUUGAGUGUGGGAGAGGGAUGUGGAAUUCCAGGUGUAGCGGUGAAAUGCGUAGAUAUCUGGAGGAACACCGGUGGCGAAGGCGGCAUCCUGGACCACGACUGACGCUGAGGCACGAAGGCCAGGGGAGCAAACGGG
rnacentral:rRNA from 1 species